rnacentral:rRNA from 1 species
GCCGCCCUCUUUCUUCGUGCUUAACACAUGCAAGUCGAACGGAAAGGCCCUGCUUUUGUGGGGUGCUCGAGUGGCGAACGGGUGAGUAACACGUGAGUAACCUGCCCUUGACUUUGGGAUAACUUCAGGAAACUGGGGCUAAUACCGGAUAGGAGCUCCUGCUGCAGGGUGGGGGUUGGAAAGUUUCGGCGGUUGGGGAUGGACUCGCGGCUUAUCAGCUUGUUGGUGGGGUAGUGGCUUACCAAGGCUUUGACGGGUAGCCGGCCUGAGAGGGUGACCGGCCACAUUGGGACUGAGGUACGGCCCAGACUCCUACGGGAGGCAGCAGUGGGGAAUAUUGCACAAUGGGCGGAAGCCUGAUGCAGAAACGCCGCGUGCGGGAUGACGGCCUUCGGGUUGUAAACCGCUUUCGCCUGUGACGAAGCGUGAGUGACGGUAAUGGGUAAAGAAGCACCGGCUAACUACGUG